GACGAACGCUGGCGGCGUGCUUAACACAUGCAAGUCGAGCGGAGCGGCGAACGGGUGAGUCACGCGUGAGUAACUGCCCCCCUCCCUGGGACAACAGUUGGAAACGGCUGCUAAUACCGGAAAGUGGGGGCUGACUGGCAGCCUAUAAGCUUGUUGGGGGGGUAGUGGCCUACCAAGGCGACGACGGGUAGCCGGCCUGAGAGGUGGACCGGCCACAUUGGGCUGAGAUACGGCCCAAAAUCCUACGGGAGGCAGCAGUGGGGAAUAUGGCACAAUGGGUGAAACCCUGAUGCAGCAACGCCGCGUGCGGGAUGACGGCCUUCGGGUUGUAAACCGCUUUCAGCAAUGACGCGGUAGUGGCAGAAGAAGCACCGGCUAACUACGUGCCAGCAGCCGCGGUAAUAC
rnacentral:rRNA from 1 species